UCCCAGGCGGCUCAAGUGGUAAAGAAUCUGCCUGUAAUGCAGGAGACCUGGGUUCGAUCCCUGGCUGGGAA
rnacentral:tRNA from 1 species